AUGCAACUGUGCCCCUCUCUCCGCUUACAAACAGCAGCAAUAUACUUCCAUAUGCCAUUGAUGGUACGCACAGAGCUCCAUUUACCAGUAAUAGAAUUGGAGUAUCGGAUGGGAUCUGGAUUUUUCUCUGGAACUAGAGGGGUGCAACGUGGUGAUGCAUGUGAGAGGACAGCGUGUGCUACCAGCACGAUCACUCAUGAUGAACAGGAGAGUAACAUGAAUGAAAGAGAACAAAAAGUUGCGAGCAAUGGUGGGGAAGCUCGCUCAUGUGGGCGGAUAUGCAUGGCAUGGCAACACACACAUGUCUCACGCGGAUUACAAUAA
rnacentral:rRNA from 1 species